rnacentral:rRNA from 1 species
GAUGAACGCUGGCGGCGUGCCUAAUACAUGCAAGUCGAGCGAACGGACGAGAAGCUUGCUUCUCUGAUGUUAGCGGCGGACGGGUGAGUAACACGUGGAUAACCUACCUAUAAGACUGGGAUAACUUCGGGAAACCGGAUCUAAUACCGGAUGAUGUUUUGAACCGCAUGGUUCAAAAGUGAAAGACGGUCUUGCUGUCACUUAUAGAUGGAUCCGCGCUGCAUUAGCUAGUUGGUAAGGUAACGGCUUACCAAGGCAACGAUGCAUAGCCGACCUGAGAGGGUGAUCGGCCACACUGGAACUGAGACACGGUCCAGACCCCUACGGGAGGCAGCAGUAGGGAAUCUUCCGCAAUGGGCGAAGGCCUGACGGAGCAACGCCGCGUGAGUGAUGAAGGUCCUCGGAUCGUAAAACUCUGUUAUUAGGGAAGAACAUAUGUGUAAGUAACUGUGCGCAUCUUGACGGUACCUAAUCAGAAAGCCACGGCUAACUACGUG